ensembl:miRNA
GUGAGGCAGCAGGAGAAUGGGGGUGCUGGGGUGGCCUAGCCAACUCGGAGCCUUAGAACCCUCUCAACUCUGUUUCCCCUAG